AAAACCAACUGCAAAUUCACUCUCAAUCUUUUGACAUCUAAGAAACGCUAGCAGAUGCUCUAAAUCCUAAUUUACAAGCAUCCAAGCACUAUUUUCUUAAUAUCUCAAGAAUCCAAUACUCAAAUAUCAUUAAAAUUAUGCACAAAGCUUACUAACAUGAAAUUACACAUUUCCUGAAAUUUUGAGCCAUAACCUUAUCAAAUUGCUCAAGAUAUAGCUCAAGACACAACCACUUGUAAAUUGGGUCACUUACUACCUUUAGAUUGUAUAUGCUGACUUUAAAAUCUAAUAACUCCUUUAUUUUAACUUGGAAUCCAGUAAGCAGUAUGUAAAAAGUAUAGCCGUAAAAGUGCUCUCUUUAAUCACAGUUGCCGAUCCUCAAUUUCUAUGUGUACGUGUGCGUUAUGCCAAAAAGAGUGAUAAUAGCUCUCAAAUCAAUACCUUAAGUUUGAGCACUUAUAUUCCCUUUAUAUAAACUCCAAACCAUACAAAAUUUGUACCAAAACCAUAGUCAAAAACCUAAACUUACUCAUCCUAGCCUUCAAAGCUCAAAUGGCCUCAAAAAUCUAACCCUAAUCUCUAAUAUGGCCUCGAGCAGCCUCCUCAAAGUCUAUUGGUCAUGAUUUUUGACCAAUAGGAAUAGAUAUUUUCAUCAUUCAUCUCCAUUCAUCUAUAUUAGUGCCUUAGUUACUCUCUUUGCUACCAAAACUCUUCUUCAAUCUUUUUUCUUUAUAAGAUUUAUAUAAUUUAUGCUCUAAACAUCAAAUAAAAGAACCAAAAUAAGUUUCCAAAGGUCACCAAUGUCUAACAAAAGUGACUUUAAAUAUUUAGAAGUUACUAUCAACAAAAACCAAUCUUAAAAGCUUCUAUCAAAAGGAAAUUAAAGUUAUACAAAUUCUAUAGUAAUCUUUAUAAACAACUUCUUCUCAAGAUAAUAAUCAAAUUAUAUUCUACAACCAACUAAAAUCUACUGACAUGGCUCUCACCAUGUUACUUAAUAAAUUAUAUAUUAAAUACAUAAUUACAUUAUUUUCAUAUAAUAGCUAAACCAUAACACGACAUCUAUCCCCUCUAAACCUGUGCAUCCUCCGGGGUCGUAUUACAUGCUUUCCUACUCGAGAACGCGUCGGACGUCUGGCUGUAGAAGGUAGUAUGGAGAUUCGCUAAUAUUCAAGCAGUCUAUCAGUUUUUGACUGUUGGAAUACAAACGAUUGCAAGAAUAUAUCGUAAAUCUAUAUGGAUGUCCUUCGAUUGCUUGCCAAAAUCUUUUUUGCCCCAGCCAGUAGGUCUCUAGAUAUUACAAAGAAUUUUGAACAACCCAAUCUGCUAAUCUCUGAUACCGCUUUAUACUCACGACCUUGUAUCCACUAACUGUCUUGUUAGAUUAACCCAAAAAUUUUCAUUCACUCCGCAUACUCAAUCCUAUAAACACCCUUUUAAUUCUUCAAUCACAGACGUAACUUCGAUUUCACAAAAUAGUCAAGAGUAAUCACACCCACUUCAUUAAAACCCCGAUUCACCAGUACAACACUAACUUCAGCAACGAUUGCCUCAGUCUUCCCAAAACCCUAUGAAGAAAAAAAAACCCAUUUUUCUGUCUUUUUUCCCCACCCGAAGCAUGAAGCUCUCUCCGAUCCUUUUCAAAAACUUAUUCUCUCCAAAAAAACCUUCAUUUCUUAACCUAUCCUCCCCUUUAACCCUAGCCUCUAAAUUUCUUCAAUCUUCCGUCUUGGAUCCGAAAUUGGCUCUCCCGUCAGAGCUUUUUCCUCCGUUUUUACCUUUAAGAGAUCUUUUUACCGAAGGGACGUUCCCGGAACGUCACAAGGAACAGGACAGCCUGAAACAGAAUCGAAACCUCAUAAUCAGGACAACAUUGAGUCGCCCGACCAAUUCACGUCUCAUAUUGGAUAAGAGGCUUGUAGUAACUUGGAUGUUCUCGAAAUUCGACCGCAUUGGGUUGUCCGACCAAUUCAGGUCUCAUAUUGGGUAAGAAGCCCGAAGUAACCUAGAUGUUUCCGAAAUUGGACCGCAUUGGGUUGCCCGACCAAUUCAGGUCUCAUAUUGGGUAAGACCUAGAUUGGAUGUCUUGAAAUUGGAUCCAAUUGGUUCUUCGAACCAGGCUCAUCCGUCGUUGAAUUGGUCCUUCCCCUUCUUGAUGACUCCCGUCAUUGGAAUCGAACGGAGCAUUUCAGUAUGCCCCGGCUGACUGUAAUGGGGUGAGUGAACCUAGCCUCUCAAUAUUUGCACUGGAAUUGGUCGUUGCUCCCAAUAUUCGAGGUAACUGAACAUUAAUAAAAGUCGUCUUUCUUUAUAUUUUCACAGUAUACUCGUGUUACAACAGGACACCGGUAUGUACCAAAAAGAAUCAAAGUUGUAGUCGGCGUCAUAACCUCCUCAAUAAUGUCUUCUUCAAAAUCCAAUUCUUUUUCCUCAUACCUAGAUAGAUCAAAUUUUCCUUCAACAUCUUCGAGGACUAGUUCUUGAUCCCAUUGUUUGAAAAGUUUGAUACUUUUUUCUACAAUUAAAAUUUUGAAUUUUAUUCCAUUUAAUUCCUUUAAUUCAUAUGUAGCAUUGUUCAAAACAUGUACAACCACAUAAGGUCCAAACCAAUGCUUAGAGAACCUUUUAAGAGCACUAUGUUAGUUAUCCAAGCUAUUGUCAUAUACCAAAGCCCAAUCAUCUUCUUGAAUAGCUUUUGGCCUCAACCUAUGUCGCUUAUCAAAUCUAUCUUUAUUCUUCAAGUACGACUCCCUCAGCCUUAUAAUUACUUUUUUCACAUCUUCAGGUCUUCUCUCUAGUUGACGAAUUCGAAGUACAAGAAGUUCUUCUUUAGAUAUAUUGUCUUGCCAAGGCAAGAUACUCCAAGUAGAUAUUUGCUCUUCAAUUGGUAUAAUAGGCUUCUAUCCUUGUAUUAACUCUGUCGGCAUAUAUCCUGUUACUGAACUAUAAGUAGUACGAUUAGCUCAAAGAUCAAAUAAUAAUAGUCUUGGCCAUUCUCUUAGUCUUCCUUUGCAAGCUUUAACAAUGGCCCUUAUAAUAGGAGGAUGACCUUGCUCAUUCUUAACAUUACCUUCUGGAUUAUAAGAUGUAAUAAGUACUAGCUUGACUCCACAUCUCUCAAAGAACUAUCUAGCCUCAUGUGCAUCCAAUUCUCUACAAUUAGCAGUAAUUUUUCCAAUACAUCCAUAUCUACAAAUCACAUCUUUCAAUAAAAAUCUACAAACUCCUUCAACAGAUUUUGUUCAUAGAGCUCUUCCUUCUACUUGGUUAGUUAAAUCUUCUCGUACCAAAGCCAAGUACUACAUUUGCCAUAUCUCCAUGGGCAUAGUAACUAGAUCCACAAUCCAUUUAUAAUGUAUUGCAAGUAGAUUUGUAAGAUGCAAUCCAUCUCUAUGUCGAAUCUCUGAGUAUAUCUGACAAGUUUGGCAUGAUUCUACAAACUUCAUCACAUCUCUAUACAUGUUAUGCCACCAAUAUUUUUCUUUGAGCAUAUUAAAGGUGGCAUAAAUACUUCUAUAUCUAGCCCACAAACUAUCAUGGAAUUCAUGGAUUAAUUUUUUUUGCAUCUCUUUCUUGCAAACUAUUCUUUGUGGCAUUCUACUAUCCCAUUUACAUCACUUCCAUAAGUAACCACCUUGUAAGAAGUAGUUGUAAGACUUCUAUCUAAUCUGUUUGGAAUGAACAUCAUGUCUUAACUUACAAGACAAAUUAUCUAUGUAUGAGCCACAUAGUAGGCUUGUUUCACAAGCUAUUAUAUAGAAUUAACUUGUUCUAGAAGCUACCAACAUAUAAUUAACUUGUUAGCCAAGUUUUUAACCUAUGUUUGGUGAUUUUAUUAGAAUGACUUUUUAUAGUUUCAUAGAUGUUUUAUUUGAAAGAAGUUACAAAGGCCUCAACAAUGACCAAAUAAUGGAAUAGUCUUCUUGUCCUAGAAUAGAACAUUAUUGAUGGCUAAUAAGACCUAUCAACCACCUUCAAAAGAAACAAAGAUUAAAAUAUGUGGCAAAAAUAAUUUGCUGCAUUUUUAACUUCUUCAACAUAUGAUGAUUGUUCUUCAUGAAACUCAUCCCUAGAAAGGAGGAUAAUGUCAUGGACAACAUAUUUAUUUAGAUAAGAAGUAUUAGGUAUAAGAUAAAUGUAUUUAUUUAUUUAUAUUUAUUUAUAUUUAUUUAUAUUUAUAAGAUAAAUGUACUUAUUUAUUUAUAUUUUGUAAUCUUUCUUUGAGUGAAGGCUCACUUGACUGAAUUGCUUUUUCAUCGAGUUCUUGUCCUUGACAUAUCAUGGUUAUUAUCUUUUUGUGAAUGAAGAGAUCCAAUACUAGAUAAUUGAGAUCUUUUUUUGGUGGAUUUUUGAUCCAUGUAUAGAGAACAUGAUAUAAUUCGUGUUACAACCAAUAAGAUCCGUAUUUUACGACAAGGUAAUCGAUAAGUAACGUUGUAUGCUUUACUAUUUUGAUAUCAUAACAUUUCCUUCAAAUUCAAUCAUUUUAGGUUUAUCAAGGAUAGAAAAAUAUAAUUCUAAAAUAGAUUGGACUUCUCAUAGUCAUGCCUUUUCUGAAAGUAUAACUAAGAGCGUAGUUAAUCAAGUAGAAAGUCAUAAGUCUAGUAUAAUUAAACUUAUAUUUGUAGGUGCAAGAGCUUUCUUGCAUGUUGCAAAAGAAGGAUCAUCUUGUGUCAUUUAUGCCACACCUGUUUCUACUAUUAGAAAGACUCUAAGUAGCAUUCUAAGCCAAUAACAAGAUUUUCAAGAUAUAUUUGAAAAGAAAAAUGUGGAUACUCUUCCGGAAAAUCGUUCCUAUAAUUGCUUAAUUGAGCUUCAAAAAAGAGCACAAUUGCCAUUUGGACCAAUCUAUAAUUUAUCACAAAAUGAGUUGACUGAACUCAAGGACAAUAUUGAAGAGAAUCUGGCCAAGAACUUCAUACACCAUUCCAAAUCUCCAGCAGGAGCUUCAAUUUUAUUUGUGAAGAAAAAAGAUGGAUCAUUGCGGAUGUGUGUCGAUUAUCGAGGACUCAACAAAAUCACCAUCAAGAAAAAGUAUCCCCUACCUUUGAUAUCUAGACUCCUUGAUCGGUUGAAUCAAGCUAAGAUCUAUACAAAAAUAGAUCUACGAGGAACAUACAAUCUAAUAAGCAUUAAAGAAGGAGAUGAAUAGAAGAUUGCGUUUCAAAUAAGGUAUGGACAUUUCAAAUACAACAUCAUACCUUUUGGACUUAUAAAUGCACUAGUAGCAUUCCAACAUCUAAUGAAUGAUGUCUUUCAAGAGUUUUUAGAUGAUUUUGUUGUCUGUUAUCAAGACGAUAUUUUAAUCUAUUCUAAAAACACAAAAGAACAUGAAUUUCAUAUUUGUCUUGUAUUACAAAAAUUAAGAGUUGCGGGAAUCUAUGCCAAAAUAAAAAAGUAUGUAUGUCACACUACUCAAAUCAACUUCUUAGGAUAAAUCAUUUUAAAUGAUGGACUUAUCAUAGAUCCUAAAAAAAUUCAAGCUAUUAUGAAUUAGAAGAUCCCAAAAAUAGUAAGAGAUGUCCAAUAUUUUUUGGUAUUUGCCAACUACUAUCAGAUCUUCAUCAAAGACUUCUCUCAAGUUGUAGCUCCAUUUACACAUUUGACUUAUAAUGUCAAACAUCAAUGGAAUCAAGAAGCGGAAGUAGUAUUUGAAGCUUUGAAGAUAGCCUUUGUUUAUGCACCUAUCUUAUAUUGCAUUGAUUUUUCUAUGCCAUUUUUUAUGAAAACAGAUGCAUCAGAAUUUAUUUUGGGUGUUGUAUUGUUAUAAAUGGAAAUAGAUGAUAAACUUCAUCUAAUAGCUUUUUAUUCCAAAAAAAUUUCAGCAACCAAGAUCAACUAAGAGAUCCACGACAAAGAACUUCAUGCAAUCAUACAUUCGUUCCAAUAAUGGCACCAUUAUCUAGAAGUUGUUUCUAGCCAAGUCACUAAGUAUACAGAUCACUAAGUAUACAGAUCACAAGAACCUUGAAUAUUUUAUUUGAGUACAUGUUUUGAAUUGUCGCCAAGCCCGUUGGAAUAUGUCUUUGUCAAGAUUCAAAUUCAAGAUCACUUAUCAAUCAGAAAAACAAGGUUUGUCAGAUCCAGUCUCUCGACGAUCUUAUCUUAUACCAAAGGAAAGAAAUGAUGUUUUUUAUCAACAAGAGACAAUUCUCUUAAACCCAAAGCAUCUUCAUCUUCGAGCAAUGAAAUCAACACUGUUGAUUCAACUUUCAUUAAGCAAGUUCAGACAAGUAUGUCUUCUAAUCCUCUUAUUCGUGAUAUUAAAGAAAAUCUUUCAAAGUCUCAUGAUACUUCUAAGUUUAAAUUCAAGAACAAUCUAUUAUAUUUUGAGGGAUGUCUAUAUAUUCUAGAAGGUGAAGCUCGAUUACAUGUUCUUCAAGCUUAAUAUGACUUUUCAAUAGCAGGUAUCAAGGACAAGAACAUGAUAAAAAUAAAUAAAUAAGUUACACUUCUUUCAAAGAAAGAUGAAAAAAUAGAAAUAACUUGAUAUAUAUAUAUAUAUAUAUGUAUAUUAAAAAAGAAACUAGAAUGGCUAUUGCCAAAAGCCAAGAAAACUAGAAACCCUUGAAAUUAGACUAGAAACAAGAAAGGAGUUGACAAAAGUGAAGAAGGCUUCACUCUUGUCUCUAUAUAUACUAUCUAAUUAGGGACUACAUGGCAAUGUUCUAUAGGACCUUUAAUAUGUGUUGACUUAGUAGGACACAUGCCUUCACUUACAAGGUAAGUUUUUCUAAGUGUGGGCUACAUAGUUAGCUUGGACUUCAAGCUAACAUGUGUGGCACAUGGCCAAUUUGUUGACCACAUUUCUAAUCCAAAAAGUCAAUUCAAGACACCUAUAAAGUCAAAACAGCAUCUAUGAAGCUCUUAGGAAGCUUCUAUGGCAAAUAUUAUAAAAUUAACUUACUUUUACUUAUUUUUACUUACUUCUACCUAUUUGUACAUGUAAUUACUAGCUUACAUGCAUAUGUUCGUGACAUUAUCUUCCCUUCUAGGGACAAGUUCCAUGAAAAGUGGUCAUCAUAUGUUGAAAAAAUCUAUGAUGCGACAAAUAGUAUUCACUACAUAUUCUGAUCUUUGUUCUCUUCAAAGAUGAUUGAUAGGACCUCUCAAUCAUCGAUAGUGUCUCAUACCAAGGUGGAAAGUCCACCUAAUUAUUUGAUCAUUGUUGAGGCCUUCAUAACUUCCUUCAAAUCAAACAUUUGGAACAUCGUCAAGAAUUGUUCGUACCUCUAAUAAAACCACCAAACAUCGGGAGUCCCUUCUAAGGUCAUGAUACCAAAUGCAUUGUCAUAUGGCAUGAUUUGCUAUAUUGGAAUACAUUGGAUAUCUAACUAGAUAGAGUGAAGCUUAAACUUUUAUAUUAAUCUUCUCUUAGCUUCCAAAACUCUUUUAUUUUGCAUAAAACUCAAAAUAUAAUAAAAUCCCUUCAAAACAUAUUUUUUCAGCAAAAGGUUUUUUUUUUCUAAACUUUAGAAAUUCAUAACUCUUGAUCUAACUGUUUAGCUUGUUUAAAAUGUAUAAGAUAGGUAGAAUUCAUCCUUGAAUUUUACCACAAAAAAAACCAACUGCAAAUUCACUCUCAAUCUUUUGACAUCUAAGAAACGCUAGCAGAUGCUCUAAAUCCUAAUUUACAAGCAUCCAAGCACUAUUUUCUUAAUAUCUCAAGAAUCCAAUACUCAAAUAUCAUUAAAAUUAUGCACAAAGCUUACUAACAUGAAAUUACACAUUUCCUGAAAUUUUGAGCCAUAACCUUAUCAAAUUGCUCAAGAUAUAGCUCAAGACACAACCACUUGUAAAUUGGGUCACUUACUACCUUUAGAUUGUAUAUGCUGACUUUAAAAUCUAAUAACUCCUUUAUUUUAACUUGGAAUCCAGUAAGCAGUAUGUAAAAAGUAUAGCCGUAAAAGUGCUCUCUUUAAUCACAGUUGCCGAUCCUCAAUUUCUAUGUGUACGUGUGCGUUAUGCCAAAAAGAGUGAUAAUAGCUCUCAAAUCAAUACCUUAAGUUUGAGCACUUAUAUUCCCUUUAUAUAAACUCCAAACCAUACAAAAUUUGUACCAAAACCAUAGUCAAAAACCUAAACUUACUCAUCCUAGCCUUCAAAGCUCAAAUGGCCUCAAAAAUCUAACCCUAAUCUCUAAUAUGGCCUCGAGCAGCCUCCU
rnacentral:lncRNA from 1 species